AUACUUACCUGGCAGGGGAGACACCAUGAUCAAGAAGGCAUUUCAGCCAGGGCGAGGCUUUUCCAUUAGACUUUAGCCAUGCUAACCCCUGUGAAUUCCCCAAAUGUGGGAAUCUCAACUGCUUAUUUUAUAGUAGCUGGGGACUGUGUUCGCACUCUCCCCUG
ensembl:snRNA U1 U1 spliceosomal RNA